GCUUAGGGCCACACCACCCUGAAAAAGCCCCAUCUCAGAAGCUAGAGUGUUUCGGACCUGGUUAGUACUUGGAUGGCAUUCUUCCUGGGAAUACUGGUGUUGGGAGUG
rnacentral:rRNA from 1 species